rnacentral:rRNA from 1 species
UUCGUAGGCGGUGCGGUAAGUCGGAAGUGAAAUCUCUGGGCUUAACUCAGAGGCUGCUUUCGAAACUGCCGUGCUCGAGUGCGGGAGAGGCGAGUGGAAUUGCAGGUGUAGCGGUGAAAUGCGUAGAUAUCUGCAGGAACACCCGUGGCGAAGGCGGCUCGCUGGACCGCAACUGACGCUGAGGAACGAAAGCUAGGGGAGCAAACAGGAUUAGAUACCCUGGUAGUCCUAGCCCUAAACGAUCAGGACUUGGGGUGGCCCGCGUUGGCGGGUCGUCCCGUAGCUAACGCGUUAAGUCCUGCGCCUGGGGAGUACGGUCGCAAGGCUGAA